rnacentral:rRNA from 1 species
AUUGAACGCUGGCGGCAUGCUUUACACAUGCAAGUCGAACGGUAACAGGCCGCAAGGUGCUGACGAGUGGCGAACGGGUGAGUAAUGCAUCGGCACGUGCCCAGUCGUGGGGGAUAACUGCUCGAAAGAGCAGCUAAUACCGCAUACGAUCUAUGGAUGAAAGCGGGGGACCGUACAGCCUCACGCGAUUGGAGCGGCCGAUGUCAGAUAAGGUAGUUGGUAGGGUAAAGGCUCACCAAGCCAACGAGCUGUAGCUGGUCUGAGAGGACGACCAGCCACACUGGAACUGAGACACGGCACAGACUCCUACGGGAGGCAGCAGUGGGGAAUUUUGGACAAUGGGGGCAACCCUGAUCCAGCAAUGCCGCGUGCAGGAAGAAGGCCUUCGGGUUGUAAACUGCUUUUGUACGGAACGAAACGGUCUGGGUUAAUACCCUGGGCUAAUGACGGUACCGUAAGAAUAAGCACCGGCUAACUACGUGCCAGCAGCCGCGGUAAUAC